UACGUAGGGGGCAAGCGUUGUCCGGAUUUAUUGGGCGUAAAGAGCGUUGUAGGCGGGCUUUACAGGUCCGUUGUGAAAACUCGAGGCUCAACCUCGAGACGCCGGUGGAAAACCGUAAGGCUAGAGUCCGGAAGAGGAGAGUGGAAUUCCUGGUGUAGCGGUGAAAUGACGCAGAUAUCAGGAGGAACACCCGUGGCGAAAGCGGCUCUCUGGGACGGUACUGACGCUGAGACGCGAAAGCGUGGGGAGCGAACAGG
rnacentral:rRNA from 1 species